UUCAUUUCCCCUUCUCUCUCUCUCUCUCUCUCUCUCUCUCUCAAUGGCUACUGAUAUGCUAAGGAUUUCAAUCUCACCUUCGCCCAGACUAAGCUUCAGCUACAGAAAAAACUCAACCGCCUUCCGGCUUCACUCCAACAUCCCUCUCCUCCGUAGACGGCGUCUGCAGAUUUUCCGGCCAGUCUACUCCCGGAAAUACCCCAACUUGAUCGUCGCGAAGGCCAUUGACCUCGGAACUUCGGUCGAAGGUUCGCCGCCGGAGCAAAAACGGCUGGAGAAAUCGUCAGUGCUCCUAGAUGUCACCGGAAUGAUGUGCGGAGCCUGUGUGUCCCGGGUCAAAUCGGUGUUGUCCUCGGACGAGCGAGUGGACUCGGUUGUGGUCAACAUGCUGACCGAGACGGCUGCGAUUCGGUUGAGGCCAGAAGCCCUGGAGGGCGAAAUGGCGGGGAAUAUCGCUGAAAAUCUCGCUCGGAGACUGACAGAGUGUGGGUUUCCGGCGAAAAAGAGGGUUUCGGGGUUGGGCGUGACGGAUAAUGUGAGGAAGUGGAAGGAGAUGGCGGCAAAGAAGGAGGCCUUGCUCGUGAGGAGUCGGAACCGGGUGGUUUUUGCUUGGACUUUGGUGGCAUUGUGCUGCGGAUCACACGCUUCACAUAUAUUGCACUCUCUUGGGAUUCAUGUUGCUCAUGGAUCGUUUUGGGAGCUACUUCACAAUUCAUACGUAAAGGGUGGCUUGGCUUUGGGGGCGCUAAUGGGACCUGGACGAGACUUGCUUGUUGAUGGUCUAAGGGCAUUCACGAAGGGAUCUCCAAACAUGAAUUCUCUCGUGGGAUUUGGUUCCAUUGCUGCAUUUAUCAUAAGCGCGGUCUCCCUUAUUAACCCAGGGCUCGAAGGGGAGGUGUCAUUUUUUGAUGAACCGGUCAUGCUUCUUGGUUUCGUGCUUCUUGGACGUUCUUUGGAAGAAAAGGCAAGGAUCAGAGCAUCUAGUGAUAUGAAUGAACUUUUAUCUCUUGUAUCCACUCAGUCAAGACUUGUGAUUACUUCCUCAGAAAGUGAUUCCUCUGCUGAUAGUAUACUCUGCUCUGAUGCAAUUUGUGUUGAAGUUCCAACUGAUGAUAUUCAAGUUGGAGACUCUGUGAUGGUGCUUCCUGGAGAAACUAUACCCGUAGAUGGUAGAGUUGUUGCUGGAAGAAGUGUGGUGGAUGAAUCAAUGCUCACUGGGGAAUCACUUCCCAUUUUUAAGGAAGAAGGUCACACUGUCUCAGCCGGAACAAUAAAUUGGGAUGGUCCUCUAAGGAUUGAAGCUUCAUCAACUGGCUCCAACUCAACCAUAUCCAAGAUUCUUCGCAUGGUUGAGGAUGCUCAAGGACGUGAAGCACCUAUACAAAGGCUUGCAGAUUCAAUUGCUGGUCCAUUUGUGUACAGUAUAAUGGCUUUGUCAGCGGUGACAUUUGCUUUUUGGUACUACAUUGGGGUGAAUGUAUAUCCAGAUGUCUUGCUUAACGAUAUUGCUGGACCAGAUGGAAGUCCUUUGCUUUUGAGUCUGAAACUUGCUGUGGAUGUCUUGGUAGUUUCCUGCCCAUGUGCAUUGGGCCUUGCCACACCCACUGCGAUCUUAAUUGGCACCUCACUUGGAGCAAAACAAGGACUUCUUAUAAGAGGAGCAGAUGUAUUGGAACGUUUGGCGAGCAUAGAUUACGUUGCUUUAGACAAGACUGGGACUCUCACAGAAGGAAAACCUGCUGUUUCUGCUGUGGCAUCUUUAAUCUAUGAAGAACCGGAAAUUCUUAAGAUUGCUGCUGCUGUGGAGAAAACAGCACUACAUCCAAUUGCAAAGGCUAUAGUAAAUAAAGCAGAAUCAUUGAAUUUGGCCAUCCCAAUAACAAGAGGGCAAAUAGCAGAACCUGGAUUUGGAUCCUUGGCAGAAGUUGAUGGGCGCUUGGUUGCUGUUGGUGCACUGGAGUGGGUUCAUGAAUGCUUUGAGAGAAAAACAAACAUAUCUUCUUUAACAAAUCUGGAAUGUGCUGUGACAUCAAAGGGGAUGCAACUAUCAAAUUACUCAAAAUCAGUUGUUUAUGUUGGACGUGAAGAAGAAGGCAUUAUUGGAGCCAUUGCAGUAUCUGAUAGUUUACGGGUUGAUGCUAAAUCUACUGUAACAAGGCUUCAGCAGAGGGGAAUCAAGACAGCACUCUUGUCAGGAGACAGGGAAGAGGCAGUUGCACCUAUAGCAAGAACAGUUGGAAUUGGGAGUAAAUAUAUUAAUGCCUCAUUGACUCCACAGCAGAAAACCAGUGUUAUCUCUGCUCUCCAAGCUGCUGGACAUCAUGUCGGAAUGGUAGGUGAUGGCAUAAAUGAUGCACCCUCCUUGGCUCUUGCCAAUGUUGGGAUUGCUUUGCAAACUGAAGCUCAAGAAACUGCUGCAUCAGAUGCAGCUUCCAUUAUACUUCUUGGGAAUAAACUUUCACAAGUGGUAGAUGCACUGGAUCUUGCACAGGCAACAAUGGCGAAAGUGUAUCAAAAUUUGUCAUGGGCAGUAGCAUAUAACGUUGUUGCUGUCCCCAUUGCUGCUGGAGUUCUACUUCCACAUUUUGAUUUUGCCAUGACACCAUCACUUUCCGGUGGUCUGAUGGCAUUGAGCUCCAUAUUUGUUGUCACCAAUUCCCUGCUUCUGCAGCUUCACAGAUCUGACAGGAAAAGCAAGAGCUAGGUUUUGCCAGCUCAACAGAAGUUUUUGCCACCUAAAUUUUGAAAUUCUGGGUUGGUUACUCUUUUGUGAGGUCGAAACAACACUAUUGGCACCAACUUUGUGGUUGAAGCAGUGACAUUUAGUGGGGUUGAUUAAUUAGCCCUCGACGAAUUAGCUAAGUAAUGCAGUCAUUGAAGAAAUUGGGAUGCUUGAGAUUUGCACCUAGAAAUGGGCGAGGCAACAUUUUUAAAUUUCUGUAAUAUUGUUUAAGAAAGAUAAUCAUGACAUUAUAUUUAUUGAACUUAGUGUAUAGUUUUUAGUCUCACAUCGGAAUGUUAGGAUAACCUUACUCUCUUGUAUAACUAUAUAUAUAUCUUAAAGUUAUAAGUUAAGUACACCAAGUGGUAUUCACUUC